UAGGGUGGAGCGAUUUUAUUUUUUUGGAAUUUUUGCUUCGGCAUACCUGUAUAAAGUUGCUAUUUUAGGUCAUUACUAAAUACGAGAAAGCUCAGUUUGUUUACGUCAAGUUUAGAGGUGCCCCCAUCAUCGUAAAGUUUUGAAAAUUUGCGCAAAUUCAAUAAAAUCGCAAACAUUGUAUAAACUCGGAAUUAUAUUCUUAGCGAUGCUUUAUUAGUGUAAACUAAACAAGAUUGAACUGGAAACGUGUUUGUUCUGAUCGGUAGGUAAUGGGGUGCGGGGAAGGGGUAUUUUUUAUUUCACUCCCUCUCAUCAAAGAAAUGGCAUUAGCCAACUCGCGCGCGUACACGAGCUCACUUGUUUGUCGUGCACUUAGGUACUUGACACAUCGAAUCUGACGGCUGGGAACAAAUACAUAUAUUAAAUAUGUUGCAAGUUAAAACACGACAAAUGUCAAGCUGUCCUGCCUCUGGUUUGCCAGAAAAGUUGCCUGUUUCCCAGUUACCAACUUACAACGACAUUAUGAAAUAUUAUUUAUUUAUCAAAAAUGAAUUGAAGCCUGAUAUAGCAACAAAAGAGCCAACAGUUCAUGAAAUAUCUGAAAGGCUGGCUCAAGAAGUUUUAUAAAUAUGGCAAAAAUCGUCGCUGCCAACUGUAAGUUUCAAAAGAAUCCUACAAUUGAUUCGCGUUUAUCAUGACAAAUACAGAUGCUUAAUGAAACCAUAUCGAGGCCGUCAAACGGAUAUUAAAUACCAAGAAAAAAAUAAUAAAUUCAUAUCAGACUCUCAUAAUUUCUUUGAUAUUUGUAGCUGCAAAUGCAAAGUUAUAUCGGAUUGUAACUGUCCUAAAGAAUGUCGCAUUCCCAAGGAGGAAGUUGUUUUUUUAUUGGAUCAAAGAACGACCAGAAAAAUGAUGAUAGGCGGUGUCGAUGUGGCUACAGCGGCAAAAAUAAAAAAAAACAAGAAAGAAAAGAAAAAGCUUUAUAUCGCAGUAGAGAGGUAAACUAUUUUGAUAAACCUUGUUGUUCUCGUUCAUUGACUGAUGAUUUGGUAACAGAAAGCAGCAGCUCAUGCGAUAGUUUGCUUGUGCCAUCUACUAGUCCUCAGUAUAAAAACCCAGAACAGGUAAAACAUAAAACUUCGCCACCUAAUAAAAAAAAAAACGAUUGAAUUUAACCUCAUUAGCUCUUGCAU